rnacentral:tRNA from 1 species
GGAAAUGUGCCCGAAACACAAGGAUCACUUUGAUAGAGUGAAAAAUAGGGAUUAAACCCCCUCAUCUCCU